AUGUGCAAAUUCACAAAUAAGAAAGGAAUUACUGGAGGUACACAGUCCUCUGCCACAAAACCAGUAACACAGGCGCAUGGGAGCAUAUUACAAACAUUCGCCCUGAAAAAUCGUCAUCAACACCAAAAAUUGUAUUUUAGGACACAGACAUUAAGAAUAUGCUGCCCUAAAACACGCUCUUUAUCUCAGAGACAGCAUGAGUGUGUACCAUGUGAUGGAGCAGUUGCUAUGGUAAUGUUCUUUAUUGAAUGGCGGACUAAACAAGUGCAUAAAACCCAUUUACAGAACAGCAUGUACAACUCCACGAAACUCACACAGCACGCCAGCACAGGGUUUCAGGUCCACGCAAAAGCAGAGCCACCGGACCGUGGCUGUAUUCGGCACGCAGCUGGCUGUCCCCAGGCACACACCGCAGCAGGGCACGGGGCCAGGCUCGCGGGUGGGACGCGUUCCACUGCAGGGUUUUCCUUUGCCGGAUGCAAGGUGAGCAGCCGGUGCCCUGCACACGGUGCCCGGUGGGGUGCAGGCACAUCUCCACACAGCAGCAUGGCCUUGCCCACCGCCUGUGAGUGGCACAGAUACCCUGUGGUGCUCAGGGCGGCCAAAGAACAGCGCUGCUCCCUGGGUCGCUGGGUGGCGCGGAGCAGUCAGCAGAACCCUGCGGGCCGCAGGAGCCAGGGGACAGCUGAGGUUCAGUUGCUCUGGAAUGGAAACAAGCACAGCACCGAGUGGCCGCAGACACCGGGCAGGGCGGGGUGUGAAGCGGGGUGUGUGGUGGCAGGAGGACGGCACAGCCUGCAGAACGGCACAGCCUGCAGAACGGCACAGCUUGCAGAACAGCACGGCCUGCAGAACCCGGGCACAGCCUGCAGAACGGCACAGCGGGACACAGCUCUGCACUGGGCGCACCGCCCGCGGCACAAAGCACAGAGAUGCUUCUCUCAAGUCCUACACGGGGUGGGCACAAAACUUUGCAUUCUGCCAUCAUUUCCAAAACUUGUUUGCUAA
rnacentral:lncRNA from 1 species